rnacentral:lncRNA from 1 species
UUUUUUUGCCCUUACAGAAUGUAGCUGAGAGAAGAUGCAGUGAGGUCCAUGAUGAGGAAACUAGAUGAUCUCUUGAGGUCCCUUCCAAUCCCUAGCAUUCUGUGAUUCUGUGUGAAAAUGAAUCCAGCAGUCCAUCCCAUCCUGUACCGCCUGAGUACAGGGAGAGACCUCGUACAAAGCCAGAAUGCGUCUGGGCUUGCAGCUCUUUUUAACCGUAUUAAGUCCUAUUCAGCACUAAUGAUGAGCUCAGUGAGACUAAGCUUUGCUUAGCAAAGCUGAAGAAGGGAAGAACUGUUGGAAGGCCGGAGCUAUUUUGAAGUAGGAUAAUUCUUCUUUCUGUAACACCCAAACAUGAAGGCUGUAAAACUUCAUUAGGACUGACUUCAAUUGCAUCCAAGUAGCUUGUGGAAAUCUUCAGAAGGAUGUUUUCCGAUCAGCACACAG